GUCCCCAUCGUCUAGUGGUUAGGACACCGCCCUUUCAAGGCGGUAACGCGAGUUCGAGCCUCGCUGGGGGCA
rnacentral:tRNA from 1 species